rnacentral:rRNA from 1 species
GAUGAACGCUGGCGGCGUGCCUAAUACAUGCAAGUCGAGCGAACAGACGAGGAGCUUGCUCCUCUGACGUUAGCGGCGGACGGGUGAGUAACACGUGGAUAACCUACCUAUAAGACUGGGAUAACUUCGGGAAACCGGAGCUAAUACCGGAUAAUAUAUUGAACCGCAUGGUUCAAUAGUGAAAGACGGUUUUGCUGUCACUUAUAGAUGGAUCCGCGCCGCAUUAGCUGGUUGGUAAGGUAACGGCUUACCAAGGCAACGAUGCGUAGCCGACCUGAGAGGGUGAUCGGCCACACUGGAACUGAGACACGGUCCAGACUCCUACGGGAGGCAGCAGUAGGGAAUCUUCCGCAGUGGGCGAAAGCCUGACGGAGCAACGCCGCGUGAGUGAUGAAGGUCUUCGGAUCGUAAAACUCUGUUAUUAGGGAAGAACAAAUGUGUAAGUAACGAUGCACGUCUUGACGGUACCUAAUCAGAAAGCCACGGCUAACUACGU